rnacentral:tRNA from 1 species
GGGGAUUUAGCUCAGCGGCAUACUGCGCCUGCCUUGCAAGCAGGCAGUCGUGAGAUCAAUCCCCA